GAAGUACUCCCUCCGUCCCAAAAUUCUUGUCUUAGAUUUGUCUAAAUACGGAUGUAUCAAGUCACGUUUUAGUGUUAGAUACAUCCGUAUCUAGACUAAUCUAAGACAAGAAUUUUGGGACGGAGGGAGUAGUAC
rnacentral:pre_miRNA from 1 species